rnacentral:rRNA from 1 species
UUCCGGUUGAUCCCGCCAGAGGUUACUGCUAUCGAGAUUCGAUUAAGCCAUGCGAGUUGAAUGUUCUUCGUGAACAUGGCGGACCGCUCAGUAACACGUGGACAACCUACCCUUGGAUCUGGGAUAAACCCGGGAAACUGGGCAUAAUACCGGAUAAGCCACAUAUGCUGGAAUGCUUUGUGGCUCAAAGCUCCGGCGUCCAAGGAUGGGUCUGCGGCCUAUCAGGGUAGUAGUGGGUGUAAUGUACCUACUAGCCUACGACGGGUACGGGUUGUGAGAGCAAGAGCCCGGAGAUGGAUUCUGAGACACGGAUCCAGGCCCUACGGGGUGCAGCAGGCGCGAAAACUUUACAAUGCGGGAAACCGCGAUAAGGGAAUCUCGAGUGCCAGCAUAUAAUGUUGGCUGUCCAGAUGCCUAAAAAGCAUUUGUUAGCAAGGGCCGGGCAAGACCGGUGCCAGCCGCCGCGGUAACACCGGCGGCCCGAGUGGUAACCGUUAUUAUUGGGUCUAAAGGGUCUGUAGCCGGCCGAAUAAGUCUCUUGGGAAACCUGGCAGCUUAACUGUCAGGCAGUCAGGGGAUACUGUUCGGCUUGGGACCGGGAGAGGUGAGAGGUACCUCGGGGGUAGGGGUGAAAUCUUGUGAUCCUCGAGGGACCACCAGUGGCGAAGGCGUCUCACCAGAACGGGUCCGACGGUAAGGGAGGAAAGCUAGGGGCACGAACCGGAUUAGAUACCCGGGUAGUCCUAGCCGUAAACGAUGCUUGCUAGGUGUCAGCCACGGUGCGACCGUGGUUGGUGCCGUAGGGAAGCCGUGAAGCGAGCCACCUGGGAAGUACGGCCGCAAGGCUGAAACUUAAAGGAAUUGGCGGGGGAGCACUACAACGGGUGGAGCUGCGGUUUAAUUGGAUUCAACGCCGGGA